UCAGACUAGCCUUAUUUCAGGUGCUCAAUAGCCUUACGUUGCUUGUGGCUACUGUACUGGACGGCACAGAUGUGGGUAUUAAAAAUAAUAUCCAUCCAUCGGAUCCGCCAUCUGCGAUGGAACUGCCGUCAAGAUGCAGAUUUUUGUGAAAACCUUGAUGGGGAAGACCAUCACUCUCAAGGUUGAACCCUCGGAUACAGUAGAAAAUGUACAGGCCAAGAUCAUGGACAAGCAAGGAAUUCCUCCUGACCAGCAGAGACUGAUUUUUGCUGACAAACAACUGAAAGAUGGACGUACCUUGUCUGACUACAACAUUCAAAAGGAGUCCGUUCCUCAUCUUGUGUUGAGACUUUGUGGUGGUGCUAAGAAAAGGAAGAAGUCUUACACCACUCCCAAGAAAAUCAAGCAUAAGAGAAAGAAGGUGAAGCUGGCUGUCCUGAAGUACCAUAGGGUGGAUGAGAACGGCCAAAUCAGCCGCCUUCGUCGGGAGUGUCCUCACCGAUGAAUGUGGUGCUGGAGUUUUUAUGGCCAGCCACUUUGACAAACGUUGUUGUGGCAGAUGUUGUCAGACCUAUUGUUUCAACAAACCAGAAGACAAGUAAUUGUAUAUUGGUUAAUAAAAGACAUGAACUAA